CAGUAGCCGCGGGAAUACGUAGGGUGCAAGCGUUGUCCGGAAUUAUUGGGCAUAAAGAGCUCGUAGGCGGUUUGUCGCGUCUGCUGUGAAAACCCGAGGCUCAACCUCGGGCCUGCAGUGGGUACGGGCAGACUAGAGUGCGGUAGGGGAGAUUGGAAUUCCUGGUGUAGCGGUGGAAUGCGCAGAUAUCAGGAGGAACACCGAUGGCGAAGGCAGAUCUCUGGGCCGUAACUGACGCUGAGGAGCGAAAGCAUGGGGAGCGAACAGGAUUAGAUACCCCGGUAGUCCCUGUCUCUUAUAA
rnacentral:rRNA from 1 species